CUGCGAGUGAAGAGGGAAGAGCUCAUCAUUGGAAUCUGGCAGUGUUGCACUGUCCGAGUUGUAGAUGAGGAGUAGUCCGUCUGGACUGCAUGGCGUCCAAGUACAAUAGGCCGUCAGUGGGACAUCAUAGAGGGUGACAAUCCCGUCCUUGACGCCAAUGUGCAAGUCUAUUACGAUGGCUAUCUCAGAGAGUCGAGCAGUUUGGGAUUUGCUGCUUAAACAUGGGAGGUAGAUUCCUUCUAAAGCUAAAUACAGGCGAGAGACCGAUAGAGAACAAGUACCGCAAGGGAAAGAUGAAAUAGCACUCUGUGAAGGGAGUCAAAAGGCGUGAAAUUGUUGCGAGAGAAGCGAUUCAAGUCAGCGUAGCUAGGCCCAUCAAGCGUCUUCGCUUUGGACUAGCUUUGCCAGCGGUCUUGUCCCUUGAAGAGACUUGACUUGUAAUAUGUCCAGCCUGGCGUGCACAGGCAGCCCCUUCUGGGGGGCCAGUGGCAUGGCUGGUGGAAUGGCUUGCAAUCGACCCGUCUUGAAACACGGACCAAGGAGUCUAACAUGUAUGCGAGUAUAAGGGUGGCAAACCCGUAUGCGCAAUGAAAGUGAUUUUCGGUGAUUGAGAAUGGCCUGAUGACCAGACAAGCAAUAUAUGUCCCUCGUACGGCCAUUGCCCAAGUUCCGUGGUAGAUCCCACGAACAUGGAGUUGGAGCAUACAUGCUAGGACCCGAAAGAUGGUGAACUAUGCCUGGACAAAGCGAAGCCAAAGGAAACUCUGGUGGAGGCUUGUAGCGAUUCUGACGUGCAAAUCGAUCGUCUGAUCUGGGUAUAGGGGCGAAAGAC
rnacentral:rRNA from 1 species